rnacentral:rRNA from 1 species
CCUACGGGAGGCAGCAGUGAGGAAUAUUGGGCAAUGGGCGCGAGCCUGAACCAGCCAAGUAGCGUGAAGGAUGACUGCCCUACGGGUUGUAAACUUCGUUUAUAAAGGAGUAAAGUUAUGCACGUGUCCCUUUUUGUCUUGACUUUAUGAAUAAGGAACGGCUAACUUCGUUCCAGCAGCCGCGGUAAGACGGAGGAUCCGAGCGUUAUCCGGAUUUAUUGGGUUUAAAGGGAGCGUAGAGGGGUUGUUAAGUCAGUUGUGAAAGUUUGCGGCUCAACCGUAAAAUUGCAAUUGAUACUGGAAGACUUGAGUACAGUUGAGGAAGGCGGAAUUCGAGGUGUAGCGGUGAAAUGCUUAGAUAUAACGAAGAACUCCGAUUGCGAAGGCAGCUUACUAAACUGCAACUGACAUUGAUGCUCGAAAGUGUGGGUAUCAAACAGGAUUAGAUACCCCUGUAGUC